CGACCCCAGGUCAGGCGGGACUACCCGCUGAGUUUAAGCAUAUAAAUAAGCGGAGGAGAAGAAACUUACAAGGAUUCCCCUAGUAACGGUGAGCGAACCGGGAGCAGCCCAGCUUGAGAAUCGGGCGGCUGUGCCGUCCGAAUUGUAGUCUGGAGAGGCGUCCUCAGCGACGGACCGGGCCCAAGUCCCCUGGAAAGGGGCGCCUGGGAGGGUGAGAGCCCCGUCCGGCCCGGACCCUGUCGCCCCACGAGGCGCCGUCAACGAGUCGGGUUGUUUGGGAAUGCAGCCC
rnacentral:ncRNA from 1 species